rnacentral:rRNA from 1 species
UACAGAGGUCUCAAGCGUUGUUCGGAUUCAUUGGGCGUAAAGGGUGUGUAGGUGGCCAACUAAGUCAGACGUGAAAUCCCUCGGCUUAACCGGGGAACUGCGUCUGAUACUGGAUGGCUUGAGUUCGGGAGAGGGAUGCGGAAUUCCAGGUGUAGCGGUGAAAUGCGUAGAUAUCUGGAGGAACACCGGUGGCGAAGGCGGCAUCCUGGACCGACACUGACACUGAGGAGCGAAAGCCAGGGGAGCAAACGGG